UACGUAGGGUCCGAGCGUUGUCCGGAAUUAUUGGGCGUAAAGGGCUCGUAGGCGGUUUGUCACGUCGGGAGUGAAAACUCAGGGCUCAACCCUGAGCGUGCUUCCGAUACGGGCAGACUAGAGGUAUGCAGGGGAGAACGGAAUUCCUGGUGUAGCGGUGGAAUGCGCAGAUAUCAUGAGGAACACCGGUGGCGAAGGCGGUUCUCUGGGCAUUACCUGACGCUGAGGAGCGAAAGCAUGGGGAGCGAACAGG
rnacentral:rRNA from 1 species